GCUUGGAAGCAGCCAUCCUUUAAAGAAAGCGUAACAGCUCACUGGUCUAGUAAUUUGGCGCCGAAAAUGUAAAGGGACUAAAGACAUUUACCGAAGUAGUAACUAUAUGUUUCAUAACUAAACGUAUAUGAAACAUGUGGGGUAGCAGAACGUUCUGUAGAUCGAAGAAGUUAUCUUGGAAAAGAUAAUGGAGGUAUCAGAAGUGAGAAUGCUGACAUAAGUAACGAUAAACCAGAGCCUAGCUUUAAAAGGCCGGGCAGAAUUCUGGUCGCCGUAAGCCCAAGGGUUUCUAUAGUAAAGUUCGACUUCAUAGAUUAAAUCGGUCCCUAAGAACAAAGCGAAAGCUGUAAUCGAUGGGAAAUAUUUAUAAAUAUCUUUUGAUGAUGACGAAAAUUAGAAGUUAACUAGUUCAAGAACCUGUUAUUAUAAUUUUCCAGGAAAAAGUCACAAAGUUUUAUAUAAAAGACCGUACCCGAAACCGACACAGGUGGGCGAGUCGAGUAGACUCAGGCGCGUGAGAGAAUCAAGUUUAAGGAACUCGGCAAAAUGACCUUGUAACUUCGGAAUAAAAGGUACUCAUACGAGUGACACAAAAUUGGGGGUAACGACUGUUUAAUAAAAACACAGGGCUCUGCUAAGUCGUAAGACGAUGUAUAGGGUCUGACACCUGCCCGGUGCCAGAAGGUUAAGAGGAGAGGUAUAUGCUUCAAAUUGAAUCCCUGGUAAACGGCGGCCGUAACUCUGACGGUCCUAAGGUAGCGAAAUUCCUUGUUAAUUAAUUGUUGACCUGCAUGAAUGGUGUAACGAUUUCCCCACUGUCUCAAACUUGAUCUCAGUGAAAUUGAAUUGUCCGUGAAGAUGCGGACUAUCUACGGCUAGACGGAAAGACCCCGUGCACCUUUACUACAAUUUUUCAUUGUGUAUUAAACUUAAUUAUGCAGGAUAAGUGGGAGCUUAUGACUAUUUAGCACAAGCUAAAUACGAGGCGACCUUGAGAUACCACUUUUUUAAGCUUUAAUCACUUAACUUAAUUUUUUUAAUAUUUAACGAAGAAUGAGGAAAGUGAAUGAUUGGUAGUUUGACUGGGGCGGUCACCUCCUAAAGAGUAACGGAGGUGCGCAAAGGCAAGCUCAAACUGGAAAAAUAUCAGUUGUAGAGCGUAAUAGUAUAUGCUUGCCUGACUGUGAGGCAGACAUGCCGAGCAGGCAUAGGUAAUUUAUUAUACCUGUGGGUUAUAGUGAUCCGGUGGUCCAUUAUGGAAUGGCCAUCGCUCAACGGAUAAAAGGUACGCCGGGGGUAACAGGCUAAUGACUCUUAAGAGCCCCUAUCGAUGGAGUCGUUUGGCACCUCAAUGUCGACUCAUCACAUCCUGGAGCUGAAGAAGGUUCCAAGGGUUGGACUGUUCGUCCAUUAAAGUGGUACGUGAGUUGGGUUUAGAACGUCGUGAGACAGUUUGGUCCCUAUCUACCGU
rnacentral:rRNA from 1 species